rnacentral:lncRNA from 1 species
UCAAAGCAUAAUUAUUACCCAAGCUGAAGAAGAAUAUUUGCAAGCAUUGAAUGGACUCGAUAAUCCCAAAGGACCAGAUAAUAUAGUUUUGGUGUCUGGACAGGUGGAUCAUUGAUACAUGUGCCCAAGAACCAUAUGAGGUAUCAACAACCCUGAUGAAAAAGAUAACAAUAACAACAACUUCUCUACAAAGAAACUACAUCAUCUGAUAAAAAAUCCAAACAGGAUUGGCAAGGAAUAUUACAGGAUAACCUCACAGGGACAUUUCAGACACAUCAAGAUAUCUAUGCCUGACAGGACCAAUGACCACAAGAUUCUGUAACUGUUAGCAAACCUGAAAACUGACAAAGCUGCAGGACUAGAUAAGAAGCAACUUGUUCUUUAACAACUUCAAGUUGGAUUGCUUCAGCUGUUGAAGUAUGGCUGCAAGGAAUGUUGCACCUGUGAGAACCAACUGCUGCAAGUUGUUGAUGAAAUUGAAAGAAACAUCACAAAACACCAAAAAAAAAUGUUCCAG